AGCUGACAGAAGCCCAGGCUCAGUCUGAGGCUCUGGCUGAAAAGAACCAGCAGCUGGAGGCUCAGCUGGCUGACCUGAAGGAGAGAUACAACCAGGAGUAUAAAACAAUAAUCGCAGAGGAGCGAGAGUGGAGGGAGGAGCUUGACAGAGACCUGAAGGUUCUGAGGAAGGAAUAUGAAAAUAAGAACAACCAGCUGAGAGAAAUCCAAAAGGAAGCAGAAUCUAAAACCUCUGAAGACGUUUCAGCACCGGCAGAAGAAGAGGAAGAAGAUUCAUAAAACUAUAUAUUUAAUAGUCUUUUAGAUGAACUGAACUUCAGCAGUUAGCUAAUGACAACUCUGAAACUGCUAUUUUUAAUUUAAGGCUUGGAAAACAGUCAGUUUAAUCACAUUAUUGAAUUAGGUGAUGGUGUGAUAUAUAUAUAUAUAUAUAUUGUUGUGUAAAUUUAAGCCAAACAAAGUUAUCAUAAAUAGUCUAAAUGUAAUUAUUUUUGCACAAUAUUUAUUUUCUUGUGUUAUCUACAAGACACAAAACUGGUUUGGAUUACUUUACUUAUAUUUAAUUUAAAGUGUCCAGUUGUGUUUUAUGCUACAACGAGAUGUUUUUGUUUUCCAAUAAAAAUGUAUCCCAGCUUUA